GUCUACGGCCAUACCACCCUGAACAUGCCCAGUCUCGUCUGAUCUUGGAAGCUAAGCAGGGUUGGGCCUGGUUAGGACUUGGAAGGGAGAAAAUAAAUGCCUUAUAAA
ensembl:rRNA 5S_rRNA 5S ribosomal RNA